rnacentral:rRNA from 1 species
UACGAAGGGGGGCUAGCGUUGUUCGGAUUUACUGGGCGUAAAGCGCACGUAGGCGGUUUGUUAAGUGAGAGGUGAAAUCCCAGAGCUCAACUCUGGAACUGCCUUUCAUACUGGCAAGCUAGAGUCCGGAAGAGGUAAGUGGAACUCCUAGUGUAGAGGUGGAAUUCGUAGAUAUUAGGAAGAACACCAGUGGCGAAGGCGGCUUACUGGUCCCGGAAUCUGACGCUGAGG